rnacentral:lncRNA from 1 species
CACUUUUCCUUUUUUCAAUAAAAAUUCUAUAUAAGGGGUCAAUUUGCUUUGCUUUGCUGUUUAAAACCCAUGAGUGGUUACUCAUUUCCACUCAGAUUAAGAGCCAAACUCUUUAGCACAGUGGUUCUCAACAUGGCCGCACAUUAGUACCACCUGGGGAGCUAUUGGGAGAUGCCCAGGUCAUGCAUGGGCACCAACUCAGACCAAUUAAAUCAGGAACUCUGGGAGGGGGAUCCAAGCAUCAGAAUGGUUUGAUGCUCCCUAGGUAAUUACAAUAGGCAGCAAAGGCUGAGAACCACUUAGCAUAACCUGCAGUUAUAGUUCUCACAUGUGGUUGUUCCCCAUGAUAAAAACUUUAAAUUUUAACUCUAAUGUAUUUGGAAGCAACCUUAUCUGCUUGUAUCUCACAGGGAUCACUGGAUACUGCAAGGCAAUAUAGAUGGUAGACGGGCAAGAGUGGAAGCAUCUCUCCAAUUUGAAGAAGAUGGCAAAACGUUGCCCUUGCAUAACAUCAGAAGAUCCCUAAUGUCUGCCUUGAAGAGCUCUCGACAAUAGCAGCAAUGAACUACAGGAAAUAGAUUUUGGACUGCAAGAGGUAUAUUCCAUGAGAAAAUUAGACUACUGACUUACAAUCUGAAAGAAAAAUGUUUGAUUGAGUUCAGCAACAGAAGUGAACAAUUCAUCAAUUAUAUUAUGUCAUAAUUUUAUUCCUAAAGUUAUUAGCUUUUGGUUUUAGUAAAGUCUGUGCCUUGAAAAUGAC